CUACAGAGGGUGCGAGCGUUAAUCGGAAUUACUGGGCGUAAAGCGCGCGUAGGCGGUCUAUUAAGUCAGAUGUGAAAUCCCAGGGCUCAACCUUGGAACUGCAUCUGAUACUGGUAGACUAGAGUUUUGGAGAGGGAAGUAGAAUUUCAGGUGUAGCGGUGAAAUGCAUAGAGAUCUGAAGGAAUACCAGUGGCGAAGGAGACUUCCUGGCCAAAAACUGACGCUGAGGUGCGAAAGCGUGGGUAGCAAACGGGAUUAGAAACCCUAGUAGUCC
rnacentral:rRNA from 1 species